rnacentral:rRNA from 1 species
UCGUGUUACACUGCAAUCGCGUGUCGCCCUUGGAGGUAGUGACAAUAAAUCACAAUGCGGAACUUUUGUUUUGCAAUUGGAUUGAGAACAACGCACAACACUUAUCGAUAAACAAUUGGAGGGCAAGUCUGGUGCCAGCAGCCGCGGUAAUUCCAGCUCCAAUAGCGUAUAUUAACGUUGUUGCAGUUAAAAAGCUCGUAGUUGAAGUGAAGUGUGAACCUUCUGGAUUUUCGUUUGAAUUUCUUGCUGGUCCGCACUCUUUCCAAAUAGUUUGCAUGGGUAUUCACUUAUCUGUGUAUUGCAUUUGGUCAUUUACUGUGAGAAAAUUAGAGUGUUCAAAACAUACGUUUGUUUGAAUACAUUAGCAUGGAAUAAUUCGAAAAGGCUUUCAUGUUCGAUUUGAUUGGUUUGUUCGUGAAGGCAAGAUUAAAAGGGACAGUUGGGGGUAUUCAUAUUCAAUAGUCAGAGGUGAAAUUCUCGGAUUUAUGGAAGAUGAACUAGUGCGAAAGCAUUUACCAAGGAUGUUUUCAUUAAUCAAGAACGAAAGUUAGGGGAUCGAAGAGGCUUAGAUACCCUCGUAGUCUUAACUAUAAACGAUACCGACUAGGGGUUAGUGGAGGUCAUUUGUCUCUACUAGUACCUUAUGAGAAAUCAAAGUCUUUGGGUUCCGGGGGGAGUAUGGUCGCAAGGCUGAAACUUAAAGGAAUUGACGGAAGGGCACCACCAGGAGUGGAGCCUGCGGCUUAAUUUGACUCAACACGGGGAAACUUACCAGGUCCAGACAUAGGAAGGAUAGACAGAACAAAGCUCUUUCUUGAUUCUAUGGGUGGUGGUGCAUGGCCGUUCUUAGUUGGUGGAUUGAUUUGUCAGGCUAGUUCCGAUAACGAACGAGACCUCCGCCUACUAAAUAGAAACAUGUAAUUCGUUAUAUGUUUCUUCUUAGAGGGACACUAUACAUUAAGUGUAGGGAAGCUGGAGGCAAUAACAGGUCUGUGAUGCCCUUAGAUGUCCUGGGCUGCACGCGCGCGACACUGAUUGAUUCAACAAGUGGCUGAUUCGAAAGAAUUGGCAACUCUUUUGAAAAUCGAUCGUGAUGGGGAUUGAUGUUUGGAAUUAUCAUCAUGAACGAGGAAUUCCUAGUAAGGGCGACACGCGAUUGCA